rnacentral:tRNA from 1 species
UCUAGCAUCCAUGGCUGAAUGGUUAAAGCGCCCAACUCAUAAUUGGCGAACUCGCGGGUUCAAUUCCUGCUGGAUGCACAAAAAAUGCA